rnacentral:rRNA from 1 species
CGGGACGGGUGAGUAUGCUUGGGAAUCUGGCUUAUGGAGGGGGAUAACGUACGGGAAACUGUAGCUAGUACCGCGUAGUAUCGGAAGAUGAAAGUGCGGGACCGUAAGGCCGCAUGCCAUGGGAUGAGCCCAAGUGGGAUUAGGUAGUUGGUGGGGUAAAGGCCUACCAAGCCUGCGAUCUCUAGCUGGUCUGAGAGGAUGGCCAGCCACACUGGAACUGAGACACGGUCCAG